rnacentral:lncRNA from 1 species
CAGCAGCGUACUAGUUGUUGGGGCUGAGAGCUGGGACCUAGAGGGACACUCAGAUCUUCAAAAAGCUCCCUAGACUUAAGUGACUGGGAGGUUGCUAUAAUGCUUACUUGAGGAGUGUGUUUUAGAAACAAGAAUUUCAUGUUUGCCUGUUUGCCCUGGGUUCCCUCGGAAUAGGUGUAAGGAUAGGCUUGAUUUUUAUUACAAAUGAUGUAACAUUACAUAUGUUAGUACUCCUAACACUUCUUGGGACUGUGCCUCAGGGAUCACAACCUAUAUAAGUUUAGAAGUUCUAAAAGACCUUGAUUUAUAGGUUCAGAUAGUGUCCAGAUUAGAAUCCUGAUGCUAAAGACUUAAUAAGACACAAAAGAGAGUUGAGAAUUAUUUAAGGCUAUCUAGGUACUACAAGGACAGCACAAGGACAUCUGCUGUUGCCCUACAAUGCAAGGCUUAUAGAGAAUUCAGAACUGCCAUUGACUCAGAUAUAAAAAGAGUAAAAAAGACUUUUUAGCUGACCUCCAAGAAUACCUAACCUCCCUCUCAGAGGUAGUCCUUCAAAAUAGGAAAAGAUUAGACCUGAUAUUCCUUAAAGAAGGAGUCUGUGUGCUACACUAAAAGAAGAAUGUUGUUUCUAUGCAGAUCAGACAGGAAUAAUAAGAGAUACAGACUUUCAGUCAUUCAAAUUUUGUGCUGAGACAACAGUAUCAGAUGGUGAAACAA